rnacentral:rRNA from 1 species
UACGUAGGGGGCGAGCGUUGUCCGGAUUUAUUGGGCGUAAAGAGCUCGUAGGCGGCUUGGCAAGUCGGGUGUGAAACCUCCAGGCUCAACCUGGAGACGCCACUCGAUACUGCUAUGGCUAGAGUCCGGUAGGGGACCACGGAAUUCCUGGUGUAGCGGUGAAAUGCGUAGAUAUCGAGAGGAACACCUGCGGCGAAGGCGGGUUGCUGGGCUGACACUGACGCUGAGGCGCGAAAGCUAGGGGAGCGAACGGG